GUCUACAGUCAGACCACCCUGAAAUCUCAUCCAGUCUCGCAAGCUAAGCAGAGUCGGGCCUACUUAGUAUUUGGAUGGGAGAAACACAAAUGGCAUAUAAAUA
rnacentral:rRNA from 1 species